GGGGAUGUGGCGGAAUCGGUAGACGCGCUCGACUCAAAAUCGAGUUCCCGAAAGGAGUGAGGGUUCGAGUCCCUCCAUCCCCA
rnacentral:tRNA from 1 species